CAUACCACCCUGAAUGUGCCUAAUCUCAUCUGAUCUCGGAGGCUAGGUAGAGUCAGGCCUGGUUAGUACUUGGAUGGGAGAUUCAAUGCAAUCCCGAUA
rnacentral:rRNA from 1 species